rnacentral:lncRNA from 1 species
GUCAAAAAAAAAAAAAGAGCAAAACAACAACAACAAAUAAAAUAAAAAACAAGAUGGAGUUGCUCUGAUUCAAGCACCCCUGAUGCUUUGGCUUCGUAUAACUGUAAUAACCAGAAUCCUUGCAACGCUCCCAGGUCACCUUGAAACAGUGGUCUCAGAGGAUGUGACUCCGAGUCCCUCGUGGCCUUAUGGAGCGGCCCAGUCUCUACUUGGUACCGGCACAGCCAUGGCUUCUCCCUCUGGGAUUCCCCCAGCCUCGAGCAGUCUCUGAGCAGUCUCAUGUUACCUGAGAAGGAACGCUGGAGCGGCCCUGGUUUUUCAUGUGCUCCAGCUCGAGCCCUCCCCCAGAAGCCUUCUGGAAAGAGGCGCUGGAUUGCACCUACAGGGGCUGGACGCCCAGUGACCUGGGGGCGCCUCUACUCCCAGCAUUGUGUGGGGCACUGUCCUGGGCACGUAGGAGAGGUUUUGGGGAAGCAAGCCAGUCACAUCCCUGUGCUUGAAGAGCACCAACUGUAUGCUGAAAUACGAGGUUAGGGAAGAGUCAACCCACUGAAUCAAAGGAGUAUUGUUCCAGAUCGAGAGAACAGUUUAUGAAAAAGAGAGACAAAAAAGAAAAAGCCCAUUAUACAAAAUGGAAGAGGGCAAAAAAAGAGGAAAUUCACUGGCCUGGUGAAAAGACAUGAGACUGAAAAAAAAGUCCUUGUGAAGGAGCUUGGAUGUCGCUCAGUAAGCUAGGAAGACACAUUAAAAUUCGAAGGAGGAUGAAUUAAGAAGAAAUAAAAGCAUUUCAGAUGAAGCAAAAUAAUAAUUGGUUGACUGCCCUUCAAGACUGACUCACAGAGCAUCUCUGACUGAAAAGAGAGACUCUGGCAAACGUGGCAGCCCAGCUGCUACAUAUUUCACUGGCAGUUACCUGGGAAAAUGUCCAAAUGGAGAAAAACACCUGGUUGGUGUGAUGACCCAGGCACUUAAAAGAUACUGAUCUACAGUGAAUACCUCCAAAGUAUAUCUCAGAGUCAACUUUCAGAAAACCCAACAGAUUGCAGCUUGUACCAUUAUUGAGGUGCUCCAAAAUAGCAAAGGAUGGGCCAAAGUUUUGGAACUGGAUUACUCAUUAUCCAGCUGACAUACAAACCCCACCACUGUGGCAGGUGGAGCACAAAGAGGCCCCGGCAUAAGGAGGUGGUUCAAUCAUUAAAUAGUUCACCAAUAGUAAAUUAAGAGGAAGCACCUGUGUUAUGUAACAGAUGUUUGAACUUAGGAGAUAGAUUAUUAUUAAAUAACAGGUUUGGGUGCUGAUAUGUUUUGGCUGUGUCCCCAGCCAAACCUUAUCUUGAGUUGUAGCUCCCAUCAUCCCCCCGUGUCGUGGGAGGGACCUGGGGGAAGGUAAUUGUAUCAUGGAGGUGGGUUUUUCCCAUGCUGUUCUUGUGGUAGUGAAUAAAUCUCAUGAGAUCUGAUGGUUUUAUACGGGCAGUUCCUCUGUACACGCUCUCCUGCCUGUCACCAUGUAAGACGUGUCUUUGCUCCUCCUUCAUUGUGAGGACU